AGAGUUUGAUCCUGGCUCAGGAUGAACGCUAGCGGCAGGCUUAAUACAUGCAAGUCGAGGGGUAACAGGGAAGCUUGCUUCCGCUGACGACCGGCGCACGGGUGCGUAACACGUAUGCAACCUACCUUUAACUGGGGAAUAGCCCCGAGAAAUCGGGAUUAAUACCCCAUAAUAUUCAUCUUUCGCAUGUCUGAUGAAUUAAAACUCCGGUGGUUAAAGAUGGGCAUGCGCGACAUUAGUUAGUUGGUGAGGUAACGGCUCACCAAGACCGCGAUGUCUAGGGGUUCUGAGAGGAAUAUCCCCCACACUGGUACUGAGACACGGACCAGACUCCUACGGGAGGCAGCAGUAAGGAAUAUUGGUCAAUGGGCGAAAGCCUGAACCAGCCAUGCCGCGUGCAGGAUGACGGCCCUAUGGGUUGUAAACUGCUUUUAUGUAGGAAGAAACUCCUGUACGUGUACAGGACUGACGGUACUACACGAAUAAGGACCGGCUAACUCCGUGCCAGCAGCCGCGGUAAUACGGAGGGUCCAAGCGUUAUCCGGAUUCAUUGGGUUUAAAGGGUGCGCAGGCGGACCGAUAAGUCAGUGGUGAAAUCCUACAGCUCAACUGUAGAACUGCCAUUGAAACUGUCGAUCUUGAGUAUAGUUGAAGUGGGCGGAAUGUAUCAUGUAGCGGUGAAAUGCAUAGAUAUGAUACAGAACUCCGAUAGCGAAGGCAGCUCACUAACCUAUAACUGACGCUCAGGCACGAAAGCGUGGGGAGCAAACAGGAUUAGAUACCCUGGUAGUCCACGCCGUAAACGAUGAUCACUCGUUGUUGGCAAUACAUCGUCAGCGACUGAACGAAAGCAUUAAGUGAUCCACCUGGGAAGUACGAUCGCAAGGUUGAAACUCAAAUGAAUUGACGG
rnacentral:rRNA from 1 species